CAGCCUAUAAUAGUGGUUGUGGUUGCU
rnacentral:piRNA from 1 species